AGCGAACGCUGGCGGCAGGCCUAACACAUGCAAGUCGAACGAACUCUUCGGAGUUAGUGGCGGACGGGUGAGUAACACGUGGGAACGUGCCUUUUGGUUCGGAAUAACUCAGGGAAACUUGUGCUAAUACCGAAUGUGCCCUUCGGGGGAAAGAUUUAUCGCCAUUAGAGCGGCCCGCGUCUGAUUAGCUAGUUGGUGAGGUAACGGCUCACCAAGGCGACGAUCAGUAGCUGGUCUGAGAGGAUGACCAGCCACACUGGGACUGAGACACGGCCCAGACUCCUACGGGAGGAAGCAGUGGGGAAUCUUGCGCAAUGGGCGAAAGACUGACGCAGCCAUGCCGCGUGAAUGAUGAAGGUCUUAGGAUUGUAAAAUUCUUUCACCGGGGACGAUAAUGACGGUACCCGGAGAAGAAGCCCCGGCUAACUUCGUG
rnacentral:rRNA from 1 species